GACGAACGCUGGCGGCGUGCUUAACACAUGCAAGUCGAACGGUGAAGCGCCUUCCUUUUUGGUGGGUGUGGAUGAGUGGCGAACGGGUGAGUAACACGUGAGUAACCUGCCCCCUUCUUCUGGAUAACCGCAUGAAAGUGUGGCUAAUACGGGAUAUUCUGGGUCUGUCGCAUGAUGGGUCUGGGAAAGAUAUUGUUUCGGUGGGGGAUGGGCUCGCGGCCUAUCAGCUUGUUGGUGGGGUGAUGGCCUACCAAGGCGGUGACGGGUAGCCGGCCUGAGAGGGUGGACGGUCACACUGGGACUGAGACACGGAGCAGACUCCUACGGGAGGCAGCAGGGGGGAAUAUUGCACAAUGGGCGGAAGGCUGAUGCAGCGACGCCGCGUGAGGGAUGGAGGCCGUCGGGUUGUGAACCUCUUUCGCCAGUGAAGCAGGGCUGCCUCGUUUGUGGGUGGGUUGACGGUAGCUGGAUAAGAAGCACCGGCUAACUACGUG
rnacentral:rRNA from 1 species